rnacentral:rRNA from 1 species
AUACGGAGGGGGUUAGCGUUGUUCGGAAUUACUGGGCGUAAAGCGCACGUAGGCGGACUGGAAAGUUGGGGGUGAAAUCCCGGGGCUCGACCCCGGAACUGCCUCCAAAACUUCCAAUCUAGAGAUCGAGAGAGGUAAGUGGAAUUCCUAGUGUAGAGGUGAAAUUCGUAGAUAUUAGGAGGAACACCAGUGGCGAAGGCGGCUUACUGGCUCGAUACUGACGCUGAGGUGCGAAAGCGUGGGGAGCAAACAGGAUUAGAAACCCUAGUAGUCC